rnacentral:rRNA from 1 species
AUUGUUGGGGCAUUCUGCCGGCGUUAUAAGUUCGUAUCAUUCGCCACCGUUGCUCAACCCGGUUCAGGGGGUCCCUCUCCCAAAGAAGAACUUCGCGAUACCCCGCCUGUGCCCAUACCCCUAGUCUUACUGUUUCGGCGUCUUUUUCCCUCGGGAAGGGGGCGGGGUCCCUUCUGGGCCUCCCCGUCCUUUAGCCGGAAACAGGCGCCUGCCGGGGGAAUCAAACUCUUCUGUAUUUUUUACUUUUACUGUUAUACUGUCUGAGUACAAAACUAUAAAUGAAUCAAAACUUUCAACAACGGAUCUCUUGGUUCUGGCAUCGAUGAAGAACGCAGCGAAAUGCGAUAAGUAAUGUGAAUUGCAGAAUUCAGUGAAUCAUCGAAUCUUUGAACGCACAUUGCGCCCGCCAGUAUUCUGGCGGGCAUGCCUGUUCGAGCGUCAUUACAACCCUCAAGUCCCCUGUGGACUUGGUGUUGGGGACCGGCGACACGCAGCUGUGUUUUUCUCACAGUUGGUCCGCCGCCCCCUAAAUGACUUGGCGGCCCCGUCUUAGGCUACCCCUCUGCGUAGUAGAACACACCUCGCAACAGGAAGCCCGGCGAAUGGCCACUGCCGUAAAACCCCCCAACUUCUUUCAGAGUUGACCUCGAAUCAGGUAGGAAUACCCGCUGAACUUAAGCAUAUCAAUAAGCGGAGGA